rnacentral:tRNA from 1 species
GCCUGGGUGGCUCAGUGGUUGAGCACCUGGCUUUGGCCCAUGGCGUGACCCUGAGUCCUGGGAUCAAGUCCCACAUCAGGCU